rnacentral:rRNA from 1 species
GAUGAACGCUGGCGGCGUGCCUAAUACAUGCAAGUCGAGCGAACGGACGAGAAGCUUGCUCCUCUGCUGUUAGCGGCGGACGGGCGAGUAACACGUGGAUAACCUACCUAUAAGACUGGGAUAAUUUCGGGAAACCGGAGCUAAUACCGGAUAAUAUUUUGAACCGCAUGGUUCAAAAGUGAAAGACGGUCUUGCUGUCACUUAUAGAUGGAUCCGCGCUGCAUUAGCUAGUUGGUAAGGUAACGGCUUACCAAGGCAACGAUGCAUAGCCGACCUGAGAGGGUGAUCGGCCACACUGGAACUGAGACACGGUCCAGACUCCUACGGGAGGCAGCAGUAGGGAAUCUUCCGCAAUGGGCGAAAGCCUGACGGAGCAACGCCGCGUGAGUGAUGAAGGUCUUCGGAUCGUAAAACUCUGUUAUUAGGGAAGAACAUAUGUGUAAGUAACUGUGCACAUCUUGACGGUACCUAAUCAGAAAGCCACGGCUAACUUCGUG